GACGAACGCUGGCGGCGUGCCUAAUACAUGCAAGUUGAGCGCUGAAGGUUGGUACUUGUACCAACUGGAUGAGCAGCGAACGGGUGAGUAACGCGUGGGGAAUCUGCCUUUGAGCGGGGGACAACAUUUGGAAACGAAUGCUAAUACCGCAUAAAAACUUUAAACACAAGUUUUAAGUUUGAAAGAUGCAAUUGCAUCACUCAAAGAUGAUCCCGCGUUGUAUUAGCUAGUUGGUGAGGUAAAGGCUCACCAAGGCGAUGAUACAUAGCCGACCUGAGAGGGUGGUCGCCCACAUUGGGACUGAGACACGGCCCAAACUCCUACGGGAGGCAGCAGUAGGGAAUCUUCGGGAAUGGACGAAAGUCUAACCGAGCAACGCCGCGUGAGUGAAGAAGUUUUUCGGUUGGUAAAAAUCUGUUGGUGGAGAAGAACGUUGGUGAGAGUGGAAAGCCCAUCAAGUGACGGUACCUACCCAGAAAGGGACGGCUACCUCCGU
rnacentral:rRNA from 1 species